GUGGGGAAUAUUGGACAAUGGGCGAAAGCCUGAUCCAGCCAUGCCGCGUGUGUGAAGAAGGUCUUCGGAUUGUAAAGCACUUUAAGUUGGGAGGAAGGGCAGUAAGUUAAUACCUUGCUGUUUUGACGUUACCGACAGAAUAAGCACCGGCUAACUUCGUGCCAGCAGCCGCGGUAAUACGAAGGGUGCAAGCGUUAAUCGGAAUUACUGGGCGUAAAGCGCGCGUAGGUGGUUCAGCAAGUUGGAGGUGAAAUCCCCGGGCUCAACCUGGGAACUGCCUCAAAAACUACUGAGCUAGAGUACGGUAGAGGGUAGUGGAAUUUCCUGUGUAGCGGUGAAAUGCGUAGAUAUAGGAAGGAACACCAGUGGCGAAGGCGACUACCUGGACUGAUACUGACACUGAGGUGCGAAAGCGUGGGGAGCAAACAGGAUUAGAAACCCGAGUAGUCC
rnacentral:rRNA from 1 species